rnacentral:rRNA from 1 species
AUUAAUGGCCAUGCCACUCUGAACAAGCCCAAUCCUGUCUGAUCUUGGAAGCUAAGCAAGGUCGGGAUUGGGUUAGUACUUGGAUGGGAAACCACCUAGGAAGACAGGUGCUGUAGGUG